AUGCGGCGCUGUCGGAGCGCGGGGCUGGCGGCGCUGGCCGCGGUGCUGCUCGUGGCUGUGGCCAGAGCCCAGGUACAGCAGGAGCCGUCAGUGGAGACCACCGAGGGCAGCGGCAUCAGCAUCAACUGCUCACAUUCCAGCAAACGGCUCGGAGAUCCGAUCCAUUUCUACCGUCAGCUCCCGGGCCGAGGACUCGAAUUCCUCGCACUCAUUGCUAGAGGAUCCAAGGACGUGCCGGCCAUCGCAGGAGAGCUGUGGGUGUCGGAGGACGGGCGUUGGAGCGCGCUGCGGCUCCGGCGGCCCCGGCGCGGGGACGCGGCCGUGUAUUACUGCGCGCUGAGCCCACGGGCAGAGGAGCCGGGGCUGCGGCCGGGCACGAACCGCCGCGGGCGGGGCCGGGCGGGGCCGGGGGCACAGCGCCGGCCGCGGCCAGCAGGGGGCGCUGCCGCUCCGCCCGCCGGGCUGGCGGGGCGGAACCGACACCGGCACCGACACCAGAACUGA